GAUGAAUGCUGGCGGCGUGCCUAAUACAUGCAAGUCGAGCGAACAGACGAGGAGCUUGCUCCUCUGACGUUAGCGGCGGACGGGUGAGUAACACGUGGAUAACCUACCUAUAAGACUGGGAUAACUUCGGGAAACCGGAGCUAAUACCGGAUAAUAUAUUGAACCGCAUGGUUCAAUAGUGAAAGACGGUUUUGCUGUCACUUAUAGAUGGAUCCGCGCCGCAUUAGCUAGUUGGUAAGGUAACGGCUUACCAAGGCAACGAUGCAUAGCCGACCUGAGAGGGUGAUCGGCACCACUGGAACUGCGCCACGGUCCAGACUCCUACGGGAGGCAGCAGUAGGGAAUCUUCCGCAAUGGGCGAAAGCCUGACGGAGCAACGCCGCGUGAGUGAUGAAGGUCUUCGGAUCGUAAAACUCUGUUAUUAGGGAAGAACAAAUGUGUAAGUAACUAUGCACGUCUUGACGGUACCUAAUCAGAAAGCCACGGCUAACUACGUG
rnacentral:rRNA from 1 species